CAUACCUUUAUUUUUUUUAAUUGAGUGUCACAUAAAAUUACGACAAGUGAAUAAAAAAAGAAACUUUAAUUUCUCGAUUGAGGGCCUGUGCGAGAGAACUUUAAAAUCAAAUUAUCAACAUUUAUGCUUUUUCCUUUUUCAGCUUGUGGAACUUGAUAAGCUACGACUGGGAACAAGAAAAAAGGAAAGGGAGUACCUGGAAAGUGUAGGUGGAAAGGACCCGGACAUAAUUAUAAAAAACCCAAGUGAAAGCAAGGGAGGAGUAGCACAGAAGCUUAUUAAGGUCUGUAUUGAAUGCCAAGACGAAUUUUGUCAUGGGUCUUGUUCAAUCUUUCAAUAUGAUUCUUAUCAGGUUGGUAGUAU